CACCAUGCGACCUUUGGGUGUCGAAAGAAAGCAUGUAGCUUCCUAAAAAGAUGCAGCAACUUCGCUUGUAAUGAGAGGCACACCGCGCAGGCGUGGCUUUGUGUGUGAACUUCUUUUUUUCUCCCCGAUGAGCUAGUCGACGCACCUGCGCAUGCGUGAGAAAACCCCUGGUUGAAUGAAGGUGCUUUGACAUCUGAGAAGCUUUGACUCACGGGAGGAUCCCAUCCGUACUUGUUGGGUAAGGCAAGUUUUGGUCUCCCGACGGACAGAAAGUGCUCUCAGGCCCCUUUUGCUGCUUCCAGGGAGACUCACUGACCUGUGAGGUUGUUGAAUCCAGCAGAUCCAUGGUGGGGAUUAGACAGCUGGCCUCUCCCAGGAAACACAUCAGGAUUUGGAGCACGUCAGCCCAGCGUCCAACAGUCAGCAUCAGGACCAUCAAUCCACCGAGUCGCACCACCACUGUGUUCAGGACAGCCUGGCUGCCGGGUAAACGGUUCUUCUCCUCUGCAGGAACAAAAAUGCAACAUUUAUGAAAAUGUUUCCAAUUUAUGACAGGUCAAUAGAGGUGUCAAAUCAUCAGGAUGCUCAAAUGAAUGAUGAAUGACUUGGUGGUCAGACGAGACCAGACGAGGCUUCAAACUGAUGAAUUAGUUAUUUUCCUCAGGCUGGAGAGAUGUCUACAAUAUCACACGUUUGAUUGAUUAGAGUCUAAUGAGCAUUGCAGCAUCUUUGAAAUGAAAGAUGGUAUCACUUAGAGAUGUUAUAAACCGAUACCAGUUCAAUAAAUACCUCCUAUGUCAUCGAAAUAGCAUCUGGUAUCAGCAUGCAGGUCUACUAGCCCUGAAAGAGAAUCAAGUUUAUUCACGUAGCCUAUAAAGGCCUACUUUAUUAUGUAUUUUAAUGCAUGUCAAGAGCACAUCAAAAUUAAAAAAGUAAA